rnacentral:rRNA from 1 species
AGAGUUUGAUCCUGGCUCAGGACGAACGCUGGCGGCGUGCCUAACACAUGCAAGUCGAACGAAGUAUGUUUUUCGGAAUAUACUUAGUGGCGGACGGGUGAGUAACGCGUGAACAAUCUGCCCUGUACAAAGGAAUAGCCUCGGGAAACUGGGAUUAAAACCGUAUAACACUUACAUAUCGCAUGAUGAGUAAGUCAAAUUGAAUAAGAGGUAUGGGAUGAGUUCGCGUCUGAUUAGCUAGUUGGUGAGGUAAAGGCCCACCAAGGCGACGAUCAGUAGCCGGCCUGAGAGGGUGAACGGCCACACUGGAACUGAGACACGGUCCAGACUCCUACGGGAGGCAGCAGUGGGGAAUAUUGCACAAUGGGCGAAAGCCUGAUGCAGCGACGCCGCGUGAGUGAAGAAGGUCUUCGGAUCGUAAAACUCUGUCCUUGGUGACGAAAAAAAUGACGGUAGCCAAGGAGGAAGCCCCGGCUAACUACGUGCCAGCAGCCGCGGUAAUACGUAGGGGGCGAGCGUUGUCCGGAUUUACUGGGCGUAAAGGGUGAGUAGGCGGUUGUAUAAGUCAGAUGUAAAAGGCACAGGCUUAACUUGUGUAAGCAUUUGAAACUGUACAACUUGAGUGCAGGAGAGGUAAGUGGAAUUCCUAGUGUAGCGGUGAAAUGCGUAGAUAUUAGGAGGAACACCAGUGGCGAAGGCGACUUACUGGACUGUAACUGACGCUGAGUCACGAAAGCGUGGGUAGCAAACAGGAUUAGAUACCCUGGUAGUCCACGCUGUAAACGAUGAGUGCUAGGUGUUGGCCAGCGAUGGUCAGUGCCGAAGUUAACACAAUAAGCACUCCGCCUGGGAG